rnacentral:tRNA from 1 species
AGAAAUUUAGGCUAACCAGACCAAAAGCCUUCAAAGCUUUAAGUAGGAGUGAAAACCCCCUAAUUUCUG